GAUUUUGCAACUUUGGAAUUUUUGUCGAAAUCUGGAAUUCUGGAAGCAGAAUUUGCAAUCACUUCAUCAGCUUCAUGUAUAAUCCAAUCGUUCAUCAUGUAUGGGGUUCGGGUCAGAGAUAGCCCAAGACCUUACGCAUGCAAUGGAAUUAAUCUCGCGUCGAUCGGGCCCGCGAGCGACGUGAUUUGUCCACUCUAGUGAGGUAAGACAUUGCAAAUUUUUUUGCACUUUCUUCAUGGAUCAGCAACUUCUCUCUAGCUUUUCUUCAUGCUUGGUCGUCAUGAGGAGUGCCAC
rnacentral:lncRNA from 1 species